rnacentral:rRNA from 1 species
UAGGGAAUCUUCCACAAUGGACGCAAGUCUGAUGGAGCAACGCCGCGUGAGUGAAGAAGGUUUUCGGAUCGUAAAGCUCUGUUGUUGGUGAAGAAGGAUAGAGGCAGUAACUGGUCUUUAUUUGACGGUAAUCAACCAGAAAGUCACGGCUAACUACGUGCCAGCAGCCGCGGUAAUACGUAGGUGGCAAGCGUUGUCCGGAUUUAUUGGGCGUAAAGCGAGCGCAGGCGGAAUGAUAAGUCUGAUGUGAAAGCCCACGGCUCAACCGUGGAACUGCAUCGGAAACUGUCAUUCUUGAGUGCAGAAGAGGAGAGUGGAAUUCCAUGUGUAGCGGUGGAAUGCGUAGAUAUAUGGAAGAACACCAGUGGCGAAGGCGGCUCUCUGGUCUGCAACUGACGCUGAGGCUCGAAAGCAUAGGUAGCGAACAGG